rnacentral:rRNA from 1 species
UGAGGAAUACAUCGGAAUCUACCUUUUCGUGGGGGAUAACGUAGGAGACUUACGCUAAUACCGCAUACGACCUACGGGUGAAAGUGGGGGACCGCAAGCCUCACGCGAUUAGAUGAGCCGAUGUCCGAUUAGCUAGUUGGCGGGGUAAUGGCCCACCAAGCGACGAUCGGUAGCUGGUCUGAGAGGAUGAUCAGCCACACUGGAACUGAGACACGGUCCAGACUCCUACGGGAGGCAGCAGUGGGGAAUAUUGGACAAUGGGCGCAAGCCUGAUCCAGCCAUACCGCGUGGGUGAAGAAGGCCUUCGGGUUGUAAAGCCCUUUUGUUGGGAAAGAAAUCCUGUCGAUUAAUACUCGGUGGGGAUGACGGUACCCAAAGAAUAAGCACCGGCUAACUUCGUGCCAGCAGCCGCGGUAAUACGAAGGGUGCAAGCGUUACUCGGAAUUACUGGGCGUAAAGCGUGCGUAGGUGGUGGUUUAAGUCUGCUGUGAAAGCCCUGGGCUCAACCUGGGAAUUGCAGUGGAUACUGGAUCACUAGAGUGUGGUAGAGGGAUGCGGAAUUUCUGGUGUAGCAGUGAAAUGCGUAGAGAUCAGAAGGAACAUCCGUGGCGAAGGCGGCAUCCUGGGCCAACACUGACACUGAGGCACGAAAGCGUGGGGAGCAAACAGGAUUAGAUACCUGGUAGUCCACGCCCUAAACGAUGCGAACUGGAUGUU